UCUUUGCAUUUACUAUGUGUUUUCUAAUAUUAAAUAUCCUGAGAUUAAAUAUAAAUAUUUUCUUACAAAGUUUGAAGUUAUUUUUUUACAUUUAACACAGUGACUUAUUUACUCCAUCUAUACAUUUUUUUCCAUUAGCAUAAGAUUUGAGGGGAGAUUUUAAAUUUGUAGUUUUCCAAAUAGCCUAGCCCUCCAACACUAUAGGUUGAAUCUUUGAUUGAAUGUGUAUUUGUUGGCAGUGCUUCUCUUACUGAAUGUUAAAUUUCUAAGUACAUUAGGGUUUUAGAGCUUUAUAUUAAAUAUCACUGAUAAAUGUAAAUUGUUGGGUAAAUACAGACACUUUUUACUUAUAACUUUACAAUUACAUGAUAAUUAAAUUCUCUUCAGAGCUCUUUCAAUAAGAAGAAUGUUAUUAGAAUAACAUUUGCAAAGUUUACAUUUUAAAAUCGAGCAGAUUAGUAAUUUGACUUUGGAAAAAUUUACAUUUUCAUAAUUCUUAGUUAUAUCACCUAAGAAAACAGCAUAGUUUUACAUUUAAAAUAUUGUAUUUUCUCCAAAGUGGUAUACUUUUUCUUCAAAUUUUCCUAAUAAACUUUUAUU
rnacentral:lncRNA from 1 species